ensembl:lncRNA
AUGAAUUAUCCCUCUACGUCACUCGACAAACCGCUGUGGGGUACAGGCCUGCUCCCGUCACCGGAGAGGACCAGCUGUGCCCACGGUUCCCGAACCUCCCCCACCAAGGCCGGCGGGGCAGGAAAGGAGUGGGUGGGGACAUGGAGCCGCGCAGGCCCUGCCCUUACCGUCCUCAGCCAGACCGUCUGCCGGAAGUUAGCCCGCAGGCGUCCUCCUCCAGGCCUCAGGGCCGCAGCGGCGUCCGCCCGCCCGCGCUUGCACGCGUGCCCGGAGGGCGGCCUCCUGUCGAGGCUGAGGUCGCGACCGAGGCCCUUUCGCGCUCCUCGUGCAGCCGUAAAGCGCCUCGCUGGAACUUUGCGACGGGAGCCUGGGACCGACACCUCGCCGCGCGCAGCCGCAGAGCGCCUCAGGAGCAGGGCGGCGCUUCGAGCGCUCCGGACGGCCGCGGCCCCAGGCGACCUCCGCGUGCAGAAGGGCCGGGGCGCACGCGCGACCCGAGUGCUGAUGCCCAGAGAAAAGAGAAAAACACGUUGGCUUCUGCUUCCCAGGGACCCCGCACGUCCACUUUUGCCGGCUUCACGUCGUAGGCAGCAUCGUGCUGCUCCGUGAGUACGGGGAGCCAGCGGGCUGGCGCCAGCUGUGAAGUGCAGUCUCGUUCCUCCUGCAGGCGUGCAAGUACCCAGGUAUGUGGGUUAGCGGCGACCUCAGGACCUCCCGUGCAAGUACCUGGGUGUGUGGGUUGGCGGCCACCUCAGGACCUCCCGUGCAAGUACCCAGGUAUGUGGGUUAGCGGCAACCUCUGGACCUCCCGUGCAAGUACCCGGGCGUUUGGGUUAUUGGUGACCUCAGGACCGCACGUGCAAGUACCCGGGUGUGUGGGUUAGCAGCCACCUCAGGACCGCCCAUGCAAGUUCCCCGGGUGUGUGGGUUAAUGGUGACCUCAGGACUGCCUGUGCAAGUACCCGGGUGUGUGGGUUGCCUGCGACCUCAGAACCUCAUGUGCAAGUACCCGGGUGUGUGGGUUGGUGGCUACCUCAGGACCUCCCGUGCAAGUACCCGGGUGUGUGGGUUGGUGGCGACCUCAGGACCUCCCGUGCAAGUACCCAGGUGUGUGGGUUAGGGGCGACCUCAGGACCUCCCGUGCAAGUACCCGGGUGUUUGGGUUGGCAGCUACCUGAGGACCUCACGUGCAAGUACCCAGGUAUGUGGGUUAGCGGCAACCUCUGGACCUCCCAUGCAAGUACCCGGGUGUUUGGGUUAUUGGUGACCUCAGGACCGCACGUGCAAGUACCCGGGUGUGUGGGUUAGCAGCCACCUCAGGACCGCCCGUGCAAGUACCCGGGUGUGUGGGUUGGCAGCCACCUCAGGACCUCUUGUGCAAGUACACAAGUAUGUGGAUUAGCGGCGACCUAAGGGCUUCACUUCCUCCAGGCAGUGGCUCAGCUGUGGGGCCCACAGGCUCAGUCAAGGAUAGCAGCACAGGAGCAGGCGGGGAGGGGAGCUCUUUGUUACCUUCUUCCAAGCUUUCUUAAUCUUGGUCUUUUCCACCUUUGGGAAAUCUCAUUUAAGUGGCGACACAAUUCCAGGCUUCUUGCCCUUCUUGCCUGGCUCACCAAAUUGUAGCUCCAUGUCAAAAUUGAGUGAGAUUAAGUGUGAAUUUUGUUCAUCAAAUUUUAAUGCAUUAAUAGUGUCAAUGUAGCAUUUCAUCCUAGUCUUAGAGAGGAGGCCUUUUGGCUUUAAUUGCAAGGAGAAUUAUCUUUAUGGUUCUUAAAUAUAAAAGGCAGUUAAUAGCAAUGUGUAUGUUUGGUGGCUUAUGAUGUUCAAAACAACACAUUUUAAGAAUUCUGUACCGUUUUGUCUUUAAUCUUUUUUUUUGCUUAAUCUUAUUUUAGAUAUACAGAUUUAAUUUAUUUCUGGGCGUGAUAAAACUAACACACUUAUGAACACAAAAUUGGGGGGUAAUAAUUUAUUUAUUUUUUAAAAAUUUUAUUUAUUCGUUCAUGAGAGAGACACAGAGAGAGAGGCAGAGACACAGGUAGAGGGAAAAGCAGGCUCCAUGCAGGGAGCCUGAUGUGGGAUUUGAUCCCAAGACCCCAAGAUCACGCCCUUGGCCGAAGGCAGGAAGUAAACCACUGAGCCAUCCAGGGAUCCCGGAGAUAACAAUUUAGAAAUAUAUUUGUAGAUGUCAAUGUUUAUCAUGGUAGAAAAUUUAAAUUUUUGUUUCUAUGUUAAGAAAUAAUAUAUAGAAUAGUUAAGAAAAACUUUCUUACAGAAAGCAAUUGAGAAGUUAAUAUUUGUCAUUAAAACUGAACUACCAGGGGCAGUCCGGGUGGCUCAGCAGUUUAGCACAGCCUUCAGCUCAGGGCCGGAUCCUGGAGACCCUGGAUCGAGUCCCAUGUCGGGCUCCCUGCAUGAAGCCUGCUUCUCCUUCUGCCUGUGUCUCUCAUGAAUAAAUGAAUAAGAUCUUAAAAAAGAAACA